GACGAACGCUGGCGGCGUGCUUAACACAUGCAAGUCGAACGGAAAGGCCCUGCUUUUGUGGGGUGCUCGAGUGGCGAACGGGUGAGUAACACGUGAGUAACCUGCCCUUGACUUUGGGAUAACUUCAGGAAACUGGGGCUAAUACCGGAUAGGAGCUCCUGCUGCAUGGUGGGGGUUGGAAAGUUUCGGCGGUUGGGGAUGGACUCGCGGCUUAUCAGCUUGUUGGUGGGGUAGUGGCUUACCAAGGCUUUGACGGGUAGCCGGCCUGAGAGGGUGACCGGCAAAAUUGGGACUAGGUAACGGCCCAAAUUCUUAGGGGGGGAAGAGGUGGGAAAUAUGGACAAUGGGCGGAAGGCCGAAUGCGCAACGCCGGCUGGGGGAAUGAGGGCCUCGGGUUGUAAACCGCUUUCGCCUGUGACGAAGCGUGAGUGACGGUAAUGGGUAAAGAAGCACCGGCUAACUACGUG
rnacentral:rRNA from 1 species